rnacentral:tRNA from 1 species
GGGGAAGGGGCGGAAUUGGUAGACGCACCAGAUUUAGGUUCUGGCGCCGCAAGGUGUGAGAGUUCAAGUCUCUCCUUCCGCACCA